rnacentral:rRNA from 1 species
AACGAACGCUGGCGGCAGGCCUAACACAUGCAAGUCGAGCGGACCUUUCGGGGUCAGCGGCGGACGGGUGAGUAACGCGUGGGAAUAUGCCCUUCUCUACGGAAUAGUCCUGGGAAACUGGGGGUAAUACCGUAUACGCCCUUUGGGGGAAAGAUUUAUCGGGGAAGGAUUAGCCCGCGUUGGAUUAGGUAGUUGGUGGGGUAAUGGCCUACCAAGCCGACGAUCCAUAGCUGGUUUGAGAGGAUGAUCAGCCACACUGGGACUGAGACACGGCCCAGACUCCUACGGGAGGCAGCAGUUGGGAAUCUUAGACAAUGGGGGCAACCCUGAUCUAGCCAUGCCGCGUGAGUGAUGAAGGCCUUAGGGUUGUAAAGCUCUUUCAGCUGGGAAGAUAAUGACGGUACCAGCAGAAGAAGCCCCGGCUAACUCCGUG